rnacentral:rRNA from 1 species
ACCAGUUAUGUGCUUGAAAUUCAAGAGAUUUGGCGGUAUUUUAGUCUUCUCAGAGGAACCUGUCCUAUAAUUGAUGAUCCACGAUUAAUCUGACUUAUUUUGAAUUUGUAUAUCGUUGUAGUUUGAAUGUUUUAGAAGAAGUAUGAAUGUUCAGGAUUUAUUAUAAUAAUGGAAAUCAGAUCAAGAUACAGUGUAUAGAUAAGAAGAGAUGGGUUACAAUAAAAUUAUUUAGACGGUUAGAUUUAUUAACAUUUAUUUAUAAGGUGGAUUUGAAUGUAAUAUAAUUAAGUUUAAUUAUAUGAGUAUAGCUCUGAAAUAUGUACACAUCGCCCGUCGCUUCCGCUACAAAGUGGAAUAAGUCGUAACAUAGUGGGUGUACUGGAAAGUGUACCUAGGAUGACAAGUUAGAGCCUAAGGCGUUUUAUUUACAAUAAAAAGGUUAAUUAUGUUAGUAAUUUGACUUGAAAAUUGGAAAUUUAUUUUUAGUAUUGUAAAGAAAGUUCUUUUUAAUUAGUAUUUUAGAAAGUAAUUUUAUUAUUAUAGUUGAUUGGUACAGAGAUGGGAUAUUUUGAAUAAUUUAAUUUUGUAAAAGAAGAUUUUAAUUUUUGUACCUUGUGUAUCAGGGUCUAUCAAGUAAUAGUUAAAUAUUUAAUUUUCCCGAAUUGGAAAGGGCUAGUAAUUUAUUUAUUUAAUUGUGGCAUAAAUUUUUAAAAUAGAUUAUUAGAAAUGAAAUGUUAUUCGCUUUUCAAUUUAUCUGGUUUUUUAAGAAACAAGUUUAAUUUGGUUUUUUAAAUAUAUAAUUUUAAUUUUUUAAUGUUAUAUUUUAAAAAGAUAAUAUUUUAUGGGAUAAGCUUUAAAAUAAAUUUUUAAAAACUAAUUUAUAUUCGUAAUAAUUUUAGAAUUGGAAGUUUUAAUAUUAAUGUGUUAUAACUAAUUUUAUGUUUAAUUUGAUUUAUAUUAGUUUUAUGUUGUUUAUUAAAAUAAUUUAUUUAAUUUGGAAUUAAAUGAAAUAAUGAUAGAAUUAGUAUGGUUUAAUGUAAUUGUAAUUUGUUUGAUAAAGGUUAUGUAAAGGAACUCGGCAAAUCUAUUUUCCGCCUGUUUAUUAAAAACAUGUCCUUUUGAUUAUAAUUUAAGGUCUAAUCUGCCCACUGAUUAUUUGAAGGGCUGCAGUACUCUGACUGUGCGAAGGUAGCAUAAUAAUUAGUUUUUUAAUUGAAAGCUGGAAUGAACGAUUGGACGAGAAAAAAGCUGUCUCUGUAUAAUUUACUUAGAAUUUUAUCUUUAAGUUAAAAAGCUUAAAUAUUUUUAAAAGACGAGAAGACCCUAUAGAAUUUUAUAUAUUAUAUAUAUCGAGUUAAUAGAAUUAUUUAUGCGAUUAUGUGGAAGUAUAUUUUGUUAGGGGAGAUAGGGAAAUUAAAUAAACUUUCUUUUUUCUAAAAUCAUUG